rnacentral:rRNA from 1 species
ACACAUGCAAGUCGAACGAGAAGGUUUUGAAUGAUCCUUCGGGUGAAAUUAGAACUGGAAAGUGGCGAACGGGUGAGUAACGCGUGGGUAACCUGCCCUAUGGAAAGGAAUAGCCUCGGGAAACUGGGAGUAAAGCCUUAUAUUAUGGUUUUGUCGCAUGGCAAGAUCAUGAAAACUCCGGUGCCAUAGGAUGGACCCGCGUCCCAUUAGCUAGUUGGUGAGAUAACAGCCCACCAAGGCGACGAUGGGUAACCGGUCUGAGAGGGCGAACGGUCACACUGGAACUGAGACACGGUCCAGACUCCUACGGGAGGCAGCAGUGGGGAAUAUUGCGCAAUGGGGGCAACCCUGACGCAGCAAUACCGCGUGAGUGAAGAAGGUUUUCGGAUCGUAAAGCUCUGUUAUUGGGGAAGAAAACAUGACGGUACCCAAUGAGGAAGUCCCGGCUAACUACGUGCCAGCAGCCGCGGUAAUACGUAGGGGACAAGCGUUGUCCGGAAUGACUGGGCGUAAAGGGCGCGUAGGCGGUCUAUUAAGUCUGAUGUGAAAGGUACCGGCUCAACCGGUGAAGUGCAUUGGAAACUGGUAGACUUGAGUAUUGGAGAGGCAAGUGGAAUUCCUAGUGUAGCGGUGAAAUGCGUAGAUAUUAGGAGGAACACCAGUGGCGAAGGCGGCUUGCUGGACAAAUACUGACGCUGAG